AAUCAACGCUGGCGGCGUGCCUAACACAUGCAAGUCGAACGAGAAGGUGACUUCGGUCACUGGAUAGUGGCGUCCGGGUGAGUAACACGUAGGUAAUCUACCUUCGGGUGGGGAAUAACGUCUCGAAAGAGACGCUAAUACCGCAUAAUGCAGCGGCACCUAAUGGUGAUUAGUUGUUAAAGCGGGGGAGUCUUCGGACCUCGCGCCUGAAGAGGAGCCUGCGGCAGAUUAGCUAGUUGGUGAGGUAAUGGCUCACCAAGGCUUCGAUCUGUAGCUGGUCUGAGAGGACGGCCAGCCACACUGGCACUGACACACGGGCCAGACUCCUACGGGAGGCAGCAGUGGGGAAUUUUGGGCAAUGGGCGAAAGCCUGACCCAGCAACGCCGCGUGAAGGAGGAAAUCCUUCGGA
rnacentral:rRNA from 1 species